UACGAAGGGUGCAAGCGUUAUUCGGAAUUACUGGGCGUAAAGUGUGCGCAGGCGGUUUCGUAAGUCUGUCGUGAAAUCCCCGGGCUUAACCUGGGAAUGGCGAUGGAGACUGCGAGGCUAGAGUUUGGCAGAGGGGGGUAGAAUUCCACGUGUAGCAGUGAAAUGCGUAGAGAUGUGGAGGAACACCGAUGGCGAAGGCAGCCCCCUGGGUCAAAACUGACGCUCAUGCACGAAAGCGUGGGGAGCAAACAGG
rnacentral:rRNA from 1 species